GCGAAUUCAAGGAACAGCGAGAAGGCCAGUCCGCGCAGAAGGGCAGGUGGGAGGGCAGGUGGGAAGGCGAGAGCUAAGGGGUAGGGUGAGACAUGGGCUGGGCCAGGUCACCCAGGGCGUCGGCCCCUGGGAAGGACUUUAGAUCUCAUCCUGACAGCAGGGGAAGUCACUCGGCGGUUGAGAAGGAGACUGGCCAGGUCUGGUUUCUUUUUUAAAGAUUGGCCUUGAGCUAAUACCUGUUGCCAAUCUUCUUUUCUUCUUCUUCUUCUUCUUCUCCCCAAAGUCCCCCACCCCCACCCCAUUACAUAGUUGUAGAUUCCAGUUGUGAGUGCCUCUGGCUGUGCCAUGUGGGAUGCCGCCUCAGCGUGGCCUGACAGCGGUGCCAUGUCCUCGCCCAGGAUCCGAACCAGCGAAACCCUGGGUCGCUGGAGCGCACGAACUUAACCACCCGCUGGGCCGGCCCCUGAUUUCUAUGUUUAAAAGGUCACCACCCUGCUAGGUAUGGAGAACUGACGACAGGCGGGCAACAUUGGAAGCAGAAAGUCACAAAUGGGACAGACAAGGAACAGGCAGCGAUGUCCGAGGAGGACCCGGGGAGAGGAGCUCCCGGAAAGCAAAAGCGCGGGCAGCGGCCGGCGUCGCGGAGGGACCGAAGAAGUAGCAGAAUAUGCAAGAUGGAUGGUCCAGGUUUUGGGAGAAGAGCGUCCGAGGAGAACAGCUCACGCCUCUCAUCUACCUUUACACCUUUCAUCUCCUUUAUACCAUGGGCACCAGACCUCCUCCUGGUGGUAUUUCUGUGCCCUAGGGACCUACUGAAAAACUUACUUGAAAACCAAAUUGCACACCAAUCUUUCAAGCACUGUAGAAGAUCUGAGUAUUUGGACACUUUUGGGCUCCACCAUUUUAUUUGAGAUGGUGGCGGGAACCACCUUUGAGUCCAAGGUAUGGCUUGACAUUGCUUAAGGAUGUCUCAGAUUUGAUGAGAAUCAUUUAGCUCCUUCAAAAAUGACUUUGGAACAAGUAGACUCACACGAAAUGCCAAUUAUUAGAUUGAAAGAUAGGAUGAGAUACGUUUCGUGGAAACCAACAGAAAUAAAAUGGAAACAAUGCACUCCA
rnacentral:lncRNA from 1 species